rnacentral:rRNA from 1 species
CAGUCGCCACGGUAAUACAGAGGGUGCGAGCGUUAAUCGGAUUUACUGGGCGUAAAGCGUGCGUAGGCGGCUAAUUGAGUCGGAUGUGAAAUCCCCGAGCUUAACUUAGGAAUUGCAUUCGAUACUGGGAAGCUAGAGUAUGGGAGAGGAUGGUAGAAUUCCAGGUGUAGCGGUGAAAUGCGUAGAGAUCUGGAGGAAUACCGAUGGCGAAGGCAGCCAUCUGGCCUAAUACUGACGCUGAGGUACGAAAGCAUGGGGAGCAAACAGGAUUAGAUACCCCGGUAGUCCCUGUCUCUUAUAC